rnacentral:rRNA from 1 species
CAGUCGCCGCGGUAAUACAGAGGGUGCGAGCGUUAAUCGGAUUUACUGGGCGUAAAGCGUGCGUAGGCGGCUUCUUAAGUCGGAUGUGAAAUCCCUGAGCUUAACUUAGGAAUUGCAUUCGAUACUGGGAAGCUAGAGUAUGGGAGAGGAUGGUAUAAUUCCAGGUGUAGCGGUGAAAUGCGUAGAGAUCUGGAGGAAUACCGAUGGCGAAGGCAGCCAUCUGGCCUAAUACUGACGCUGAGGUACGAAAGCAUGGGGAGCAAACAGGAUUAGAUACCCCCGUAGUCCCUGUUUCUUAUAC